rnacentral:rRNA from 1 species
UACAGAGGGGGCAAGCGUUGUUCGGAAUUACUGGGCGUAAAGGGCUCGUAGGCGGCCAACUAAGUCAGACGUGAAAUCCCUCGGCUUAACCGGGGAACUGCGUCUGAUACUGGAUGGCUAGAGGUUGGGAGAGGGAUGCGGAAUUCCAGGUGUAGCGGUGAAAUGCGUAGAUAUCUGGAGGAACACCGGUGGCGAAGGCGGCAUCCUGGACCAAUCCUGACGCUGAGGAGCGAAAGCCAGGGGAGCAAACGGG